rnacentral:rRNA from 1 species
GAUGAACGCUAGCGGGAGGCCUAACACAUGCAAGCCGAGCGGUAGAGUUUCUUCGGCACCUUGAGAGCGGCGCACGGGUGCGUAACACGUGUGCAACCUACCUUUAUCUGGGGGAUAGCCUUUCGAAAGGAAGAUCAAUACCCCAUAAUAUAAUGAUUGGCAUCAAUUAUUAUUUAAAACUCCGGUGGAUAGAGAUGUGCACGCGCAAGAUUAGAUAGUUGGUGAGGUAACUGCUCACCAAGUCAAUGAUCUUUAGGAGUCCUGAGAGGGAGAUCCCCCAGAAUGGUACUGAGCCACGGACCAGAAUGCUACGGAACGAAGCAGUGAGGUACAUUGGACAAUGGGUGAGAGCCUGAUCCAGCCAUCCCGCGUGAAGGAUGCCGGUCCUAGGGAUUGUAUACUUCUUUUGUACAGGGAUAAUCCUACCCUCGUGAGGGUAGCUGACGGUACUGAACGAAUAAGCACCGGCUAACUACGUG